rnacentral:rRNA from 1 species
GUGCAGCGUCGUGUGUUUCUUCCCGGAGGUAGAGCUACUGGUUGGUUGAGCGGGACUACAAUCUUAGCAAUGUCAGCCAAACUCCGAAUGCCGGUGAAGUAUGAGCACGGCAGUGAGACUGUGGGGGAUAAGCUUCAUAGUCGAGAGGGAAACAGCCCAGAUCGCCGGCUAAGGCCCCUAAGGGUGUACUAAGUGGAAAAGGAUGUGGGAUCGCGAAGACAACCAGGAGGUUGGCUUAGAAGCAGCCACCCUUGAAAGAGUGCGUAAUAGCUCACUGGUCAAGUGAUCCUGCGCCGACAAUGUAGUGGGGCUCAAGUACACCGCCGAAGCCGCGGCAAUAUCCCUUGGGGAUAUUGGGUAGGGGAGCGUCGUGCAUGUGUUGAAGCAGCCUGGUGACGGUGUUGUGGAAUGUGCGCGAGUGAGAAUGCAGGCAUGAGUAACGAAUGAUGAGUGAGAAACUCAUCCGCCGGAUGACUAAGGGUUCCUGGGUCAAGUUAAUCUUCCCAGGGUGAGUCGGGGCCUAAGGCGAGGCCGACAGGCGUAGUCGAUGGACAACGGGUUGAUAUUCCCGUACCCGUAUAAUCGCGCCCAUGGUGAA